rnacentral:rRNA from 1 species
CCUACGGGUGGCAGCAGUGGGGAAUAUUGGGCAAUGGGCGCAAGCCUGACCCAGCCACGCCGCGUGAAGGAAGAAGGCUCUCGGGUUGUAAACUUCUUUUAAGAGGGAAGAGCAGAAGACGGUACCUCUUGAAUAAGCCACGGCUAACUACGUGCCAGCAGCUGCGGCAAUACGUAGGUGGCAAGCGUUGUCCGGAUUUACUGGGUGUAAAGGGCGUGUAGCCGGGCUGACAAGUCAGAUGUGAAAUUCCCGGGCUUAACCCCGGACCUGCAUUUGAAACUGUUGGUCUUGAGUAUCGGGGCGGCAGGCGGAAUUUCUGGUGUAGCGGUGAAAUGCGUAGAUAUUAGGAAGAACACCGAUGGCGAAGGCAGCCUACUAGACGACAACUGACGGUGAGGCGCGAAAGCGUGGGGAGCAAACAGGAUUAGAUACCCUAGUAGUC